AGUUCGAGCCCCGAAUCUCUCUCUUUCGGGCUCUUUUUAUGUUGAAGAAAUAUUCUCGAGAAUGGAGAUGGUGGUUCUUUAGUCUCCGACCUAAACGUCAGUUUAUCAUCGGACUUUCUUUUUCCAUCCACGGAUGAAAGAAUUAAUUUUUUUAUAUAGCUGCCAACCACCCCUGGGGCUUCGACUGGCAUUGGACCACUCCCAGUCUAUCUUUGAAUAGGAACGAUGUGAUCCUGGCU
rnacentral:lncRNA from 1 species